rnacentral:rRNA from 1 species
CAGGAUUCUUUAAGUAGUGGCGAAUGAACAGGGGGCAGGUCAGACUGGUAAUUGGGGUCUCUGAGCUCUGAAUUGUAGCCUGAAUUGCGACUGCCAACGGGGAUGCAUAUGCAAGCCUUUUGGAAAGGAGGACCUGUGAGGGUGACAGUCCCACUCAUGGUAUGCAAUUUGUCGUGCACGGUGGUUGUAUCUGUGAGUCGUGUUCCUUGAAACUGGAGCGCCAAUUUGGUGGUAUAUCUCAUCUAAACUUGAGUAGUCGUCUGAGAUUGAUAGCGAACAAGUACCAUGAGGGAAAGAUGAAAAGGACUUUGGAAAUAAUGUUAAAAGUUCCUGAACUUGCUGGAGGGAAAGCGAAUGAACCUAGUAUAGCAGGCAAGAUUUCUGCACCCUGUGCCAAUGGCUUGCUGAUUCAGUAAUAACGAGAUGGUUGGUGUUAUUGAGUAUGCUGGUGUGUAGUGUGUCUUGCUUGAAUGUCUGUGGUUGUGUGACACUGGGGAUGCUGCAUUGCAUGGCCAUUUGCUUCUGUGUACUGGCUGUUCUUUGCCGCAGACUUAGUUGUGCACUACACUGUGCCAGGUGCUGUUCUCACGGAAAGGUGAGUGUAGAAGUUGACACAUUGCGACACAGGGUUUUCAUUUGACCCGUCUUGAAACACGGACCAAGGAGUCUAACAGCCGUGCAAGUUUAAGGGUUUGGAACCUGUGUGCACAAUGAAAAUUAUUGCUGGCAUGUGCUGCAUCAGCAACCAACCAAUCAUGUGGGAGAGGUUUGAGUCUGAGCAUACCUGUUAGGACCCGAAAGAUGGUGAACUAUGCCUGAGAAGGGUAAACUCAGGGGAAACUCUGGUGGAGGCCCGUAGCGAUACUGACGUGCAAAUCGUUCGUCAUACUUGGGUAUAGGGGCGAAAGACUAAUCGAGCCAUCUAGUAGCUGGUUCCCUCCGAAGUUUCCCUCAGGAUAGCUGGAUGUGCACAGUUUUAUCAGGUAAAGCAAAUGAUUAGAGGAAUCGGGGAUGUACUGUCAUCGACCUAUUCUCAAACUUUAAAUGGGUAAGAUCCAGUGAUUACUUGUGUGAACUUCUGGGAUAAAUGACAUUUCCAAGUGGGCCAUUUUUGGUAAGCAGAACUGGCGAUGAGGGAUGAGCCUAACGCUGAGCUAGGGUGCUUAAUUGCCCGCUCAUCAGAUACCAGAAAGGGUGUUGGUUCAUUUCAACAGCAGGACGGUGGUCAUGGAAGUCGAAAUCCGCUAAGGAAUGUGUAACAACUCACCUGCCGAAUA